rnacentral:rRNA from 1 species
GCCAGACUCCUACGGGAGGCAGCAGUGAGGAAUAUUGGUCAAUGGUCGGGAGACUGAACCAGCCAAGCCGCGUGAGGGAUGAAGGUACAGAGUAUCGUAAACCUCUUUUGUCAGGGAACAAAGGCGGGGACGUGUCCCCGGAUGAGUGUACCUGAAGAAAAAGCAUCGGCUAACUCCGUGCCAGCAGCCGCGGUAAUACGGAGGAUGCGAGCGUUAUCCGGAUUUAUUGGGUUUAAAGGGUGCGUAGGCGGAAUGCCAAGUCAGGGGUAAAAUCGGGGGGCUCAACCUCGCUCCGCCGUUGAAACUGGCAGUCUCGAGUUGGAGAGAAGUAUGCGGAAUGCGCGGUGUAGCGGUGAAAUGCAUAGAUAUCGCGCAGAACUCCGAUUGCGAAGGCAGCAUGCCGGCUCCACACUGACGCUGAGGCACGAAAGCGUGGGUAUCGAACAGGAUUAGAUACCCCAGUACC